AUGGAGUCGGUUGUACUGAUACUACACACUGCACUUUGUUGUGCAGAUACUGGAGUUGGUCCUAGCGGCGCACAUUAGACUUGCUUAGAUUCAGCUAUUCACAGGAGACUUAAGGGUAAUGAGGGAGGUUAAAAAGCAUGCACACGAAGAAAGGCGCUUGAUCGCGAGAUAUUUUGUUCAAGAGUUUGAAGAGAAAGAUUGAUCUGUUGUUGUGGAAGAUGUUGUAAGAAAAGUCAAGGAACAUCCCCAUACACGGAUGGGCUACAAUUUGGAAUUUGCUUCUUUAUAUGCAUGAACAUGGAACAAGAAGAAUUAAGUCAUAUGGAGAUAGGUAAGUGGAUUGAGCCGGAGGUCUAUUGGAAACAACCUCUCUACCUUCACAAGGUAGGGUAAGGUCUGUGUACACUUUACCCUCCCCAGACCCCAAUAUGUGGGAUUACACCGGAUUUUUUGCUGUUGUUGUUUUAGAUAGGUAAGCGGGAGCUAGAAUGUCGUUUUAGAUAGGUAAGUGGGAGCUAGAAUGUCAGCAGCAGAUGUAACUAUUAUUUUCAGCCGGCAUUUCCUGUAUAUAACGAGUACAAAACACAUUGUCUUUUCGGAAUGAAAUGGACCCUUGGAGCACCUAUGUAGAGUACUUGACCAAUGCCACCAUCAGUCUUGUGAAUCAAGGGAGACAGUCAUACAGAAAUAGCAGUGAGAUAGUGGGAAUGAAAGAAAAUGCCUACACGAGUCCUUUUCUCAUUGUUGUAUGUUUAAGUUGGAGUACAUGGGAUAAGUUUCAAAGAGACAUUGUGCUUUGUCAUCUUUGUGUUUGGAAAAGCUCAACGGAGCUGCUUUUCAAUUAAACUUCUAGAUAGAUCUCGACCUGUCCUAAACCAGUAUUCGAUCUCUGCUCUGCUGCCAUUUGUUGAACCAUUGGCACAGUGGAACUGAAAAGAAGAACGCGUCCAUGCUGUCCUUGUCCAAUCACUGUACAUUAAGUUUGAGAACAUGAGAUGAGUAUCAAGGAGAAAUUCGCGUUUGGAGCUACUCACUCUAAGUCUAAGGAGCUGCCUUUCAAUUAAACACAUACAUUUCGUUAUCAAGGAAGAUGCUAUCUUUUAUUUGCUUUGUGAAUUUAACUUUGUAUUUGGAUCACAAAGUGAAAGAUAUGGUAUCUGAAUUUUCGAAAGUGUGAGGAAGCUAAACCAUAUAUCUUUAAAUGGCAUAUAUCUUUUUUAGAUUCUGCUGGGGCAUUGAAAUCUUGUUGCAUGAUACUGUUAGAAGUGUUACCUCCAAAUAUAAUGUACAAUAUAUGGGGGGAUUUUCCCCCUUUUUUAGAUCUUCUUUA